rnacentral:rRNA from 1 species
GCGUGCGGGGAGCUAUACAUGCAGUCGAGCGGACCGACGGGAGCUUGCUCCCUUAGGUCAGCGGCGGACGGGUGAGUAACACGUGGGUAACCUGCCUGUAAGACUGGGAUAACUCCGGGAAACCGGGGCUAAUACCGGAUGCUUGAUUGAACCGCAUGGUUCAAUCAUAAAAGGUGGCUUUUAGCUACCACUUGCAGAUGGACCCGCGGCGCAUUAGCUAGUUGGUGAGGUAACGGCUCACCAAGGCGACGAUGCGUAGCCGACCUGAGAGGGUGAUCGGCCACACUGGGACUGAGACACGGCCCAGACUCCUACGGGAGGCAGCAGUAGGGAAUCUUCCGCAAUGGACGAAAGUCUGACGGAGCAACGCCGCGUGAGUGAUGAAGGUUUUCGGAUCGUAAAACUCUGUUGUUAGGGAAGAACAAGUACCGUUCGAAUAGGGCGGCACCUUGACGGUACCUAACCAGAAAGCCACGGCUAACUACGUGCCAGCAGCCGCGGUAAUACGUAGGUGGCAAGCGUUGUCCGGAAUUAUUGGGCGUAAAGCGCGCGCAGGCGGUUUCUUAAGUCUGAUGUGAAAGCCCCCGGCUCAACCGGGGAGGGUCAUUGGAAACUGGGGAACUUGAGUGCAGAAGAGGAGAGUGGAAUUCCACGUGUAGCGGUGAAAUGCGUAGAGAUGUGGAGGAACACCAGUGGCGAAGGCGACUCUCUGGUCUGUAACUGACGCUGAGGCGCGAAAGCGUGGGGAGCGAACAGGAUUAGAUACCCUGGUAGUCCACGCCGUAAACGAUGAGUGCUAAGUGUUAGAGGGUUUCCGCCCUUUAGUGCUGCAGCAAACGCAUUAAGCACUCCGCCUGGGGAGUACGGUCGCAAGACUGAAACUCAAAGGAAUUGACGGGGGCCCGCACAAGCGGUGGAGCAUGUGGUUUAAUUCGAAGCAACGCGAAGAACCUUACCAGGUCUUGACAUCCUCUGACAACCCUAGAGAUAGGGCUUCCCCUUCGGGGGCAGAGUGACAGGUGGUGCAUGGUUGUCGUCAGCUCGUGUCGUGAGAUGUUGGGUUAAGUCCCGCAACGAGCGCAACCCUUGAUCUUAGUUGCCAGCAUUCAGUUGGGCACUCUAAGGUGACUGCCGGUGACAAACCGGAGGAAGGUGGGGAUGACGUCAAAUCAUCAUGCCCCUUAUGACCUGGGCUACACACGUGCUACAAUGGGCAGAACAAAGGGGCAGCGAAGCCGCGAGGCUAAGCCAAUCCCACAAUCUGUUCUCAGUUCGGAUCGCAGUCUGCAACUCGACUGCGUGAAGCUGGAAUCGCCAGUAAUCGCCGGAUCAGCAUGCCCGCCGGUGAAUACGUUCCCGGGCCUUGUACAACACCGCCCGUCACACCCACCGAAAGUUUGUACCACCGAAGUCGUUGAAGGUAACCUUUGUGCCAGGCCGCGAAAGGUGGACAGAUGGAUUGGGGGUGUGAGGUCUUGCAUAACACACAAGAU